AGCGAACGCUGGCGGCAGGCUUAACACAUGCAAGUCGAGCGGGCAGUUCGGUCUCAGCGGCAGAGGGCUGAGUAAGACGUGGGAACGUACCCGUUGGUUCGCUAUAACGGACGGUGACUAGCGCUAAUACCGGAUACGCUCAUUCGGGGAAAGGCGUGCUGCCGAAGGCUCGGCGUGCGUCUGAUUCGCCAGUUGGUGGGGUAAUGGCCUACCAAGGCCACGAUCAGUAGCUGGUCUGUUAGCAUGAUCAGCCAGACUGGGCAUGCGACACGGCCCAGACCCGUACGGAAGGGAGGAGUGGGGAGUACUGGACGAUGGGCGCAAGUCUAAUACAGCCGUGCCGCGGAAGUGAUGAAGGCCGUAGGAUUGUAAAGCUCUUUUGUACGAGACGAGAGUGACGGUACCGGAAGAAUAAGCCCCGGCUAACUUCGUG
rnacentral:rRNA from 1 species